GGAUCAUAGUUCAGUGGCAGAGUGUCUGCUUUGCAUGCAGAAGGUCCCUGGUUCAGUCCUCAGCAUCUCCA
rnacentral:tRNA from 1 species